GGUAGCCUAGUGGUUAGAGUGUAUAGGUGGCAGGUAGCCUAGUGGUUAGAGUGUAGAGGUGGCAGGUAGCCUAGUGGUUAGAGUGUAGAGGAGGCAGGUAGCCUAGUGGUUAGAGUGUAGAGGUGGCAGGUAGCCUAGUGGUUAGAGUGUAGAGGUGGCAGGUAGCCUAGUGGUUAGAGAGUAGAGGUGGCAGGUAGCCUAGUGGUUAGAGAGUAGAGGUGGCAGGUAGCCUAGUGGUUAGAGAGUAGAGGUGGCAGGUAGCGUAGUGGUUAGAGAGUAGAGGUGGCAGGUAGCCUAGUGGUUAGAGAGUAGAGGUGGCAGGUAGCCUAGUGGUUAGAGAGUAGAGGUGGCAGGUAGCCUAGUGGUUAGAGAGUAGAGGUGGCAGGUAGCCUAGUGGUUAGAGUGUAGAGGUGGCAGGUAGCCUAGUGGUUAGAGAGUAGAGGCGGCAGGUAGCCUAGUGGUUAGAGUGUAGAGGUGGCAGGUAGCCUAGUGGUUAGAGUGUAGAGGUGGCAGGUAGCCUAGUGGUUAGAGAGUAUAGGCGGCAGGUAGCCUAGUGGUUAGAGUGUAGAGGUGGCAGGUAGCCUAGUGGUUAGAGAGUUGGGCCAGUAACAGAAAGGUUGCUAGAUUGAAUCCCCAAGCUGACAAGGUAACAAUUUGUCGUUCUGCCUCUGGACAUGGCAGUUAACCCACUGUUCCUAGACCAUCAUUUGAAGUAAGAAUUUGUUCUUAACUGACUUGUCUGGUUAAAUGAAAUAAUUUUUUUUUUGUUAUCUCAACCAGCUUCACCUGGAAUGCUUUUCCAACAGUCUUGAAGGAGUUCCCACAUAUGCUGAGCACUUGUUGGCUGCUUUUCCUUCACUCUGCGGUCCAACUCAUCCCAAACCAUCUCAAUUGGGUUGAGGUCUGGUGAUUGUGGAGGCCAUUUCAUCUGAUGCAGCACUCCAUCACUCUCCUUCUUGGUCAAAUAGCCCUUACGCAGCCUGGAG
rnacentral:lncRNA from 1 species